rnacentral:rRNA from 1 species
GGCAGGCUUACACAUGCAAGUCGAGGGGUAACGAUAGUGCUUGCACUAGGCGACGACCGGCGCACGGGUGAGUAACGCGUAUGCAACCUACCUCAAACUGGAGGAUAGCUCAGGGAAACCUGGAUUAAUACCCCAUAAUAUCUUUUUGAGGCAUCUCAAAAAGCUUAAAACUCCGGUGGUUAAAGAUGGGCAUGCGGGACAUUAGUUUGUUGGUGAGGUAACGGCUCACCAAGACUACGAUGUCUAUGGGGUCUUAAAGGAUGGUCCCACACACUGGUACUGAGACACGGACCAGACUCCUACGGGAGGCAGCAGUGAGGAAUAUUGGGCAAUGGGUGCAAACCUGACCCAGCCAUACCGCGUGCAGGAUGACGGCCCUAUGGGUUGUAAACUGCUUUUAUACGGGAAGAAAAAACUCUACGUGUAGAGAACUGACGGUACCGUACGAAUAAGGAUCGGCUAACUCCGUGCCAGCAGCCGCGGUAAUACGGAGGAUCCAGGCGUUAUCCGGAUUUAUUAGGUUUAAAGGGUGCGCAGGCGGGUUAAUAAGUCAGUGGUGAAAUCCCUCAGCUCAACUGAGGAACUGCCAUUGAUACUGUUAGUCUUGAGUAUAGUUGAGGUAGGCGGAAUGUGUCAUGUAGCGGUGAAAUGCAUAGAGAUGACACAGAACACCGAUUGCGUAGGCAGCUCACUAAACUAUCACUGACGCUGAGGCACGAAAGCGUGGGGAGCGAACAGGAUUAGAUACCCUGGUAGUCCACGCCGUAAACGAUGAUUACUCGUUGUUGGCAAUAUAAGGUCAGCGACUGAGCGAAAGCAUUAAGUAAUCCACCUGGGGAGUACGUUGGCAAGAAUGAAACUCAAAGGAAUUGACGGGGGCCCGCACAAGCGGAGGAACAUGUGGUUUAAUUCGAUGAUACGCGAGGAACCUUACCUGGGCUUAAAUGGAGAACGACCGCCGCCGAAAGGUGGCUUCCCUUCGGGGCGAUUUUCAAGGUGCUGCAUGGUUGUCGUCAGCUCGUGCCGUGAGGUGUCGGGUUAAGUCCCAUAACGAGCGCAACCCCUAUCGUUAGUUGCUAGCAGGUAAUGCUGAGGACUCUAACGAGACUGCCGGUGUAAGGCGAGAGGAAGAUGGGGAUGACGUCAAGUCAGCACGGCCCUUAUGUCCGGGGCUACACACGUGUUACAAUGGCCAGUACAAUGGGCAGCUACCUGGCAACAGGAUGCUAAUCUCCAAAGCCGGUCCCAGUUCGGAUCGGAGUCUGCAACUCGACUCCGUGAAGUUGGAUUCGCUAGUAAUCGUAGAUCAGCAACGCUACGGUGAAUACGUUCCCGGGCCUUGUACACACCGCCCGUCAAGCCAUGGAAGCCAGGAGUGCCUGAAGUCUGUAACCGCAAGGAGCGGCCUAGGGUAAAAC